rnacentral:rRNA from 1 species
AUGAGUUCCUGUCUCGGCUCCGUAAGGAGUUUGAGCCCCGGCGUGCUCAGUUGUUUGCUCGUGGCCGUAUUUCUCUCAUGGAGGCGCUUUCUGAGAUUCGUGCUGAGGAGACUCGCUUACAUGGUGCUGGUUUGCUGGAGGUUCCCUCUGUGCUCGCUACUCGUGCUCCUAUGCCACCUGCUGCACCGACCCCUUCUCGCUCGAGUACUCCGCCGCUCUUGCUCACUCCUUCUGGAGGCUCAGGUCGCCCCCGUCCACAUUGCGACUAUUGCAGCAAUGAUGGUCAUCUUGAGUCUCAGUGCUACACGAAGAAGAAACACCUGCGCAAGGCUCGAUCAUCAUCUUCAGGGACUUCGUCAUCUACCUCGACAACUUCAGCCAUUGCUUUGA